UACGAAGGGGGCUAGCGUUGUUCGGAAUUACUGGGCGUAAAGCGUGCGCAGGCGGUUUUUCAAGUCAGGGGUGAAAGCCCAGAGCUCAACUCUGGAAUUGCCUUUGAAACUGACGAACUGGAGUACGAGAGAGGUGAGUGGAAUUCCCAGUGUAGAGGUGAAAUUCGUAGAUAUUGGGAAGAACACCGGUGGCGAAGGCGGCUCACUGGCUCGUAACUGACGCUCAUGCACGACAGCGUGGGGAUCAAACAGG
rnacentral:rRNA from 1 species